rnacentral:ncRNA from 1 species
AGACAAGUGCCCACUUCACUCUCCUUUAGGAUUUUUACCCUUUCCUAAAAAUUGUAGUGGGCAUUAAAAA